rnacentral:lncRNA from 1 species
GUUUUGGUACAAACCCUAAGUACACGUGCAUGCAUAAUCCGCAGGAAACAAUGAAGAACACGCAAGUAAUUUCGCAGGUAAUGGUAUGAAGGUCCUAGCAAAAUCCGUAGGAAAAGUGCAGGAAGUUAUGAACAUGAUGAAGAUCUUGAAGAUCUUCAUCCUCAAAUUUCCAGAAAAUUUCAACAUGUCCAGAAUUAUAAAUCAAGCAUAUCAUUGGAUUCAUCAUGCAACAUACAUUCACAAUCCAUAAUCAUUUCAACAUAAAACAU